CUGCACAGCAGCUCCCAAGCCGCGGGGAGAGUGGGAGUGCACGGGCACCGAACUGUGCCUCUCAGGGGUGUUGCAGCGGAUUUUUUAAUAAAUGUUUUCCACUUCUUUAUUCUAGGUCCCGGAAGAACUGGCCCCUCACCCUCCAUCUCUGGCUUUGUCUGCUCCCUCUACUCCCCAGGCCUUGCUGUCAGCACCUGCAGCAGAGCUGUCCCUGCUGUGGUCCGGGGAAAGUUCCAGCUGGGCCCUCCGUUGCACAUCCAUCCCUGGGUUGGGCAUCCAGGGCAUCAAGUCUACAAAAAAUGCAUCCAUUUCACCUCCAAGUCAGCUCUGUGCACACCAAGCUGUGUACAGGACAGGCCACCUUAGAAAGCCUGGGUACCCACGCAGCCUUCCACAAGGCCCCACCUACAUGGCUGCUUUAGGUUCUCAUCAUCCUGUGCUCACCAGGAAGGCUGGCAGAUCCACACCGGGAACCAUGGGCUGGGGAGAAGCAGGGCCUUGGUGCUAGAGAGAUCUGCCCAAGCAUCCUUCUGCAAGCCCUGUGACAGAGGAGUGAGCAGCCUCAGGAGCGGGACAGGUGCUCAGGAGAGAGCCGGACGUGUGCAGAACCUGGAGAGAGCCAGAGGAGGGAUCGGCCACAGAGAAACCCAUCACCUGCCAGCACUGACGUGGACGUUGGGACAAGGUUUCUGCUGGUGGCCCAGCCCUCCAGAUUCCUCACUCCCACGCCUCGGCCCGAGAAUCCUUCUGGAAACACAAGGCUGCAGACUUCCUCCCUAGGGAGGGAACCAGGCCAGGAGCAACAUGGGGAGACCUGGGUCCCUGAGUGGCCAUGACCAUCGACCUAGAACAGUCAGCUCAGGACUGUUAUGUGGGAGCAGCAAUCGUCCAGCUCCUUCAAGCUGCUGUCUCCAAGGGUCUCGUCAUUCCAUUAUGGAUACAGCCUCGGGAAAUGGUGACGGCAAAGGGGCUCAUACAACAUGGCCCAUUUUUAUUAAUUUUUAUAAACGGGAAAUUGAAUA